GAUGAAGAACGCAGUGAAAUGCGAUACUUGGUGUGAAUUGCAGAAUCCCGUGAACCAUCGAGUCUUUGAACGCAAGUUGCGCCCGAAGCCAUCAGGUUGAGGGCACGUCUGCCUGGGCGUCACAUAUCGUUGCCCAAUGCCUAUUGCAGUGCAAUAGGAAUUUCUAGGGCGAAUGAUGGCUUCCCGUGAGCGUUGUUGCCUCGCGGUUGGUUGAAAAUCGAGUCCUUGGUAGGGUGUGCCAUGGUAGAUGGUGGUCGAGUUAGAACGAUACCGAUCAUGUGCAUGCUCCCCAAAAUAUGGCCUCUAUGACCCACACGCGUCUUUUGACGCUCAUGACGAGACCUCAGGUCAGGCGGGGCUACCCGCUGAAUUUAAGCAUAUCAAUAAGCGGAGGA
rnacentral:misc_RNA from 1 species